CACAAGCCACUCCACAGCGGAUUACUACAAGAUUAAUAAAGUGUACUUCAAGCUUUACAAUAAGAAGUCAAGGAAGUGAAGGACUACAGCCACAUCCCAGCCCUUCAGAGAUCUGUCCUGCAGAAAAGGCUGUCGUCCAGACUGGAGCGGUGGGCCAUCAGUGAGUUCAGGAGACCAGAUGAUCCCAGGCGUCCAGGAGUUGUUUGUGGUAUUCCUGCACCACCCUCAGAAGUGUUGUUGCAGACACAAGUCAGCAGAGAAAUACAGCUUGCCUUAGGUGAAACUGAAUAUGUGAAAUAUAUACAUAACCCAAUUACUCAGUAUGUUUGUGUAUUGUUGGUGAUGAAAAACUGACCCUGACCUGUGAUGUACUGCAAAUAAUAUCUGACACUGAGUUCCAGCUUCUUCUACCACCGGGGCCCCAGCAAAAUAUGUUCAAAUAUCCAUUCUGUAUGUGAAGUUUUAUAUUGGACUAAAAAUAAAGCAUUAUAAAAGUCUCAA